CAGAUGCACAGCCAGGCCUGAGGAAAGGAGCACUUUAUGCUCGGUGCUUAGAGGGACAAUGUGGAGCUGGUGCAACCCAGGUUUAUGGGAACCUGUGCCACAGUACUGAGGGUGACCCCAAAGGGGACAAAGUCCACUGCUCCUGUGAGAGCUUGCCAUUGAUUUGGGAUGUGACUUUCAGCAGGCACCAAGAACCAGUGCGUCUCUUUAUGCUGAUCUCCUCUGUUCACAUGCUUAUCCUUGGACUGAUGGAGGAAAUCAAAGGAGCUGUGUCUUCCUCCAAAAUCUCCAGCAUUCAGAAAAAGAAUGUAGUCCAUACUCACAUUGAGAGAAUUGUAUCAACAUCCUGAUUAAAGGCAUGUGCAAGAGACAUGGUCAUGGAUGUGGAUGAAGCUGAAGAAAAGCUUGUUUCGUGAUGACUACUUCACUACACCUGUUUUGCUAGGCUUCGCAGUACUCAGUUUUGACACCAUCUCUGCCUAGUGGACCUCAGCUGCUGAGAGCCACGGUAGAGCUGCCUUCACUCCAGGCAUGCCAGAACCAAGAGGUGGGAGAGUAAGGGUGAACCUGCAGCACAUCACAGCCCUAACAUUCUUUGGAAUAUCAUAAAGAUUCAGUUAUAAAUUAUGUUUUGAGAUCCCAUUCUUCUUGAUUUUGAGUCAAAGUAAGGAGUUGCCUAGCAGAAGGAAACUGCCUUCUCGUGAAACCCUGAUUGCCACUAUUCAACUCAGAUGUAUGUACUCCAGGCCUAAAUCAAAGCUAUUUUUUUCUUACAGUCAGACUUCUCUACAUUUCAGUGCAUUUUCAAACUCUGAUUAUAGAUGAAAUGUUAGUAUUUG
rnacentral:lncRNA from 1 species